GAUGAACGCUGGCGGCGUGCUUAACACAUGCAAGUCGAGCGAAAAGGCCCUGCUUUCGGUGUUCUCGCGUUGCGAACGGGUGAGUAACACGUGGGUGGUCUGCCCUGCUCUUCGGGAUGAGCCUGUGAGACUGAGUCGAAUACCGAACAGGAGCCAUUUUUAGUGUGAUGGUUGGAUAGUUUUUUCGGUGUAGGCUGAGCCCGCUGCCUAUCAGCUUGUUGGUGGGGUAAUGGCGUACCAAGGCGGCUUCGGGUAGCCGGCCGGAGUGGGUGGACGGCCACAUUGGGACUGAGAUACGGCCCAGACGCGUACGGGAGGCAGCAGUGGGGAAUAUUGCACAAUGGGCGCGAGCCUGAUGCAGCGACGCCGCGUGGGGGAUGACGGCCUUCGGGUUGUAAACUCCUUUCGCUAGGGACGAAGCUUUUUGUGACGGUACCUAGAUAAGAAGCACCGGCUAACUACGUG
rnacentral:rRNA from 1 species